GCGGCGGACGGGUGAGUAACACGUGGGCAACCUGCCCUGCAGACUGGGAUAACUUCGGGAAACCGGAGCUAAUACCGGAUAACACCGAAAACCGCAUGGUUUUCGGUUGAAAGGCGGCUUUUACCUGUCACUGCAGGAUGGGCCCGCGGCGCAUUACCUAGUUGGUGAGGUAACGGCUCACCAAGGCGACAAUGCGUAGCCAACCUGAAAGGGUGACCGGCCACACUGGGACUGAAACACGGCCCAAACUCCUACGGGAGGCAGCAGUAGGGAAUCUUCCGCAAUGGACGAAAGUCUGACGGAGCAACGCCGCGUGAGCGAAGAAGGUCUUCGGAUCGUAAAGCUCUGUUGUCAGGGAAGAACAAGUGCCGUUCGAACAGGGCGGUACCUUGACGGUACCUGACGAGGAAGCCACGGCUAACUACGUGCCAGCAGCCGCGGUAAUAC
rnacentral:rRNA from 1 species